rnacentral:rRNA from 1 species
UACGAAGGGUGCAAGCGUUACUCGGAAUUACUGGGCGUAAAGCGUGCGUAGGCGGUUUGUUAAGUCCGUUGUGAAAGCCCUGGGCUCAACCUGGGAAUUGCAGUGGAUACUGGCGAGCUAGAGUGCGGUAGAGGAUGGUGGAAUUCCCGGUGUAGCGGUGAAAUGCGUAGAGAUCGGGAGGAACACCCGUGGCGAAGGCGACUUCCUGGCCUGUUCUUGACGCUGAGGCGCGAAAGCUAGGGGAGCAAACGGG